ACGGGAGGCAGCAGUGGGGAAUAUUGCACAAUGGGGGAAACCCUGAUGCAGCGACGCCGCGUGAGUGAAGAAGUUAUUCGUAAUGUAAAGCUCUAUCAGCAGGGAAGAAAAUGACGGUACCUGACUAAGAAGCCCCGGCUAACUACGUGCCAGCAGCCGCGGUAAUACGUAGGGGGCAAGCGUUAUCCGGAUUUACUGGGUGUAAAGGGAGCGCAGGCGGCCAUGCAAGUCAGAAGUGAAAGCCCGGGGCUCAACCCCGGGACUGCUUUUGAAACUGUAAGGCUAGAUUGCCGGAGAGGUAAGCGGAAUUCCUAGUGUAGCGGUGAAAUGCGUAGAUAUUAGGAGGAACACCAGUGGCGAAGGCGGCUUACUGGACGGUAAAUGACGCUCAGGCUCGAAAGCGUGGGGAGCAAACAGGAUUAGAUACCCUGGUA
rnacentral:rRNA from 1 species